AUGACUGGCGGCGGCCUACACAUGCAAGUCGGACGGUAGCACAGAGGAGCUUGCUCCUUGGGUGACGAGUGGCGGACGGGUGAGUAAUGUCUGGGGAUCUGCCCGAUAGAGGGGGAUAACCACUGGAAACGGUGGCUAAUACCGCAUAACGUCGCAAGACCAAAGAGGGGGACCUUCGGGCCUCUCACUAUCGGAUGAACCCAGAUGGGAUUAGCUAGUAGGCGGGGUAAUGGCCCACCUAGGCGACGAUCCCUAGCUGGUCUGAGAGGAUGACCAGCCACACUGGAACUGAGACACGGUCCAGACUCCUACGGGAGGCAGCAGUGGGGAAUAUUGCACAAUGGGCGCAAGCCUGAUGCAGCCAUGCCGCGUGUAUGAAGAAGGCCUUCGGGUUGUAAAGUACUUUCAGCGGGGAGGAAGGCGAUGCGGUUAAUAACCGCGUCGAUUGACGUUACCCGCAGAAGAAGCACCGGGCUAACUCCGUGCCAGCAGCCGCGGUAAU
rnacentral:rRNA from 1 species